AGUCCACCCCCGUAAACGUUUGGGAACUAGUUGUGGGGUCCAUUCCACGGAUUCCGUGACGCAGCUAACGCAUUAAGUUCCCCCGCCUGGGGAGUACGGCCGCAAGGCUAAAACUCAAAGGAAUUGACCGGGGACCCGCACAAGCGGCGGAGCAUGCGGAUUAAUUCGAUGCAACGCGAAGAACCUUACCAAGGCUUGACAUAUACGAGAACGGGCCAGAAAUGGUCAACUCUUUGGACACUCGUAAACAGGUGGUGCAUGGUUGUCGUCAGCUCGUGUCGUGAGAUGAUGGGUUAAGUCCCGCAACGAGCGCAACCCUCGUUGUAUGUUGCCAGCACGUAAUGGUGGGAACUCAUGGGAUACUGCCGGGGUCAACUCGGAGGAAGGUGGGGAUGACGUCAAAUCAUCAUGCCCCUUAUGUCUUGGGCUUCACGCAUGCUACAAUGGCCGGUACAAAGGGCUGCAAUACCGCGAGGUGGAGCGAAUCCCAAAAAGCCGGUCCCAGUUCGGAUUGAGGUCUGCAACUCGACCUCAUGAAGUCGGAGUCGCUAGUAAUCGCAGAUCAGCAACGCUGCGGUGAAUACGUUCCCGGGUCUUGUACACACCGCCCGUCAAGUCAUGAAAGUCGGUAACACACUGAAGCCGGUNGCAUAACCUUUUUGGAGGGAGCCGUCGNAGGUGG
rnacentral:rRNA from 1 species